GUUUCAAUAAUUUAAUUAAAAUAUUAAUUUUGUAAAUUAAAAAUGAUUUAAAAUCUUAAAACA
rnacentral:tRNA from 1 species